rnacentral:tRNA from 1 species
GGAAGUGUGCCUGAAACCAAGGGACUCCUUGAUAGGGAGAACCACAGGGGUUCAAAUCCCCUCACUUCC